rnacentral:rRNA from 1 species
GCGGUUAAAAAGCUCGUAGUUGGAGUUCUGCCAGGUGCCACCUGUCCGCCCCAGUGGUGAGUACGUGGUGCGCAUUUGGCCCUUUCAAGGGGAGCGUAUUUGCACUUAAUUGUGUGGUGCGGGAUCCUUGACUUUUACUUUGAGGAAAUAAGAGUGUUCCAAGCAGGCUCUCGUCGUGCAUAGCUCAGCAUGGAAUAAUAGCAUUGGACCUCGAUUCUAAGCUGUUGGUUGCCAGAAGCGAGGUAAUGAUGA